AUUGAACGCUGGCGGCAUGCUUUACACAUGCAAGUCGAACGGUAACAGGUUAAGCUGACGAGUGGCGAACGGGUGAGUAAUGCAUCGGAACGUGCCCGGUCGUGGGGGAUAACGCAGCGAAAGCUGCGCUAAUACCGCAUACGAUCUGAGGAUGAAAGCGGGGGACCGUAAGGCCUCGCGCGAUCGGAGCGGCCGAUGUCAGAUUAGGUAGUUGGUGGGGUAAAGGCUCACCAAGCCAGCGAUCUGUAGCUGGUCUGAGAGGACGACCAGCCACACUGGGACGGCGACACGGCCCAGACUCCUACGGGAGGCAGCAGUGGGGAAUUUUGGACAAUGGGCGAAAGCCUGAUCCAGCAAUGCCGCGUGCAGGAAGAAGGCCUUCGGGUUGUAAACUGCUUUUGUACGGAGCGAAAAGGUCUCCUCUAAUACAGGGGGCUCAUGACGGUACCGUAAGAAUAAGCACCGGCUAACUACGUGCCAGCCGCCGCAGUAA
rnacentral:rRNA from 1 species